rnacentral:rRNA from 1 species
GCAUAUCAAUAAGCGGAGGAAAAGAAACCAACAGGGAUUGCUCUAGUAACGGCGAGUGAAGCAGCAAUAGCUCAAAUUUGAAAUCUGGCGUCUUCGACGUCCGAGUUGUAAUUUGUAGAGGAUGCUUCUGAGUAACCACCGACCUAAGUUCCUUGGAACAGGACGUCAUAGAGGGUGAGAAUCCCGUAUGCGGUCGGAAAGGUGCUCUAUACGUAGCUCCUUCGACGAGUCGAGUUGUUUGGGAAUGCAGCUCUAAAUGGGAGGUAAAUUUCUUCUAAAGCUAAAUAUUGGCCAGAGACCGAUAGCGCACAAGUAGAGUGAUCGAAAGAUGAAAAGCACUUUGGAAAGAGAGUUAAAAAGCACGUGAAAUUGUUAAAAGGGAAGGGAUUGCAACCAGACUUGCUCGCGGUGUUCCGCCGGUCUUCUGACCGGUCUACUCGCCGCGUUGCAGGCCAGCAUCGUCUGGUGCCGCUGGAUAAGACUUGAGGAAUGUAGCUCCUUCGGGAGUGUUAUAGCCUCUUGUGAUGCAGCGAGCGCCGGGCGAGGUCCGCGCUUCGGCUAGGAUGCUGGCGUAAUGGUCGUAAUCCGCCCGUCUUGAAACACGGACCAAGGAGUCUAACAUCUAUGCGAGUGUUCGGGUGUCAAACCCCUACGCGUAAUGAAAGUGAACGGAGGUGAGAACCGCAAGGUGCAUCAUCGACCGAUCCUGAUGUCUUCGGAUGGAUUUGAGUAAGAGCAUAGCUGUUGGGACCCGAAAGAUGGUGAACUAUGCCUGAAUAGGGUGAAGCCAGAGGAAACUCUGGUGGAGGCUCGCAGCGGUUCUGACGUGCAAAUCGAUCGUCAAAUUUGGGUAUAGGGGCGAAAGACUAAUCGAACCAUCUAGUAGCUGGUUCCUGCCGAA